GAUGAAGAACGCAGCGAAAUGCGAUAAGUAGUGUGAAUUGCAGAAUUCAGUGAAUCAUCGAAUCUUUGAACGCACAUUGCGCCCCUUGGUAUUCCGAGGGGCAUGCCUGUUCGAGCGUCAUUAUCACCCCUCAAGCUCAGCUUGGUGUUGGGGCCGGCCCGUCACAGGGCCGCCCCUAAAAGCAGUGGCGGUGCCAUCUGGCUCUACGCGUAGUAAUACUCCUCGCGACAGAGUCCCGGUGGUGUCCUGCCAGAACCCCCCAUCUUUUUAAUGAUUGACCUCGGAUCAGGUAGGGAUACCCGCUGAACUUAAGCAUAUCAAUAAGCGGAGGA
rnacentral:misc_RNA from 1 species